rnacentral:rRNA from 1 species
UACGUAGGGGGCAAGCGUUGUCCGGAUUUAUUGGGCGUAAAGAGCUCGUAGGUGGUUUGGUAAGUCGGAUGUGAAAUCUCCAGGCUCAACCUGGAGGGGUCAUUCGAUACUGCCAUGACUAGAGGUCGGUAGGGGAGUGUGGAAUUCCUGGUGUAGCGGUGAAAUGCGCAGAUAUCAGGAAGAACACCCGUGGCUAAGGCGGCUCUCUAGUACGGUACUGACGCUGAGACGCGAAAGCGUGGGGAGCGAACAGG